AGACGUAGGGGGUUAGCGUUGUUCGGAAUUACUGGGCGUAAAGCGUACGUAGGCGGAUCAGAAAGUUGGGGGUGAAAUCCCGGGGCUCAACCCCGGAACUGCCUCCAAAACUCCUGGUCUUGAGUUCGAGAGAGGUGAGUGGAAUUCCGAGUGUAGAGGUGAAAUUCGUAGAUAUUAGGAGGAACACCAGUGGCGAAGGCGGCUCACUGGCUCGAUACUGACGCUGAGGUACGAAAGUGUGGGGAGCAAACAGGAUUAGAAACCCCAGUAGUCC
rnacentral:rRNA from 1 species